GUGUCAGAAGCAAAACCUGAAUCAGCUUCGCCUUUUGUUCUUCCUCAGCAUUCUAAGUCUUGGUUCAAGAAUCAUCAAACAGUGGAGAUUGUUUCUCCCAAACUAUAAGCAAAAUUCAGUACACGCACCGGGGGACUUUCCCAAUUAUGGCAGAGGAAUCUCAAUGCUCUCCUUUCACUAUGUUCCUUCUUUCUUGAAAGACAUUCCCUGUGACUCAGCAUCUGGGCAGCCACAAGGCCUAGAACAGGGAGGUCCUCGAGGUCAAACAGAUGUCAGCAGGUGCCUCCCAGGGGCUCCUCCAAGUCCUGGCCGUGCCCAAGGGAGAGCUGGCGCAGAAACCACCCUGGGAGCCUCUGCUCAAGCCACAGAGUCUCGAUGGGGGAUCGUGCACAGGGUCCCUUGGUGGUCGCCAAACUUUGCUCCAGAGCCAAAACAGACUCAAAGACAGUUUGGGAUAAAGAGGAACAAAGAGCUUUGUU
rnacentral:lncRNA from 12 species